rnacentral:rRNA from 1 species
UACGUAGGGGGCAAGCGUUGUCCGGAUUUAUUGGGCGUAAAGAGCGUGUAGGCGGCUAGGUAGGUCCGUUGUGAAAACUCGAGGCUCAACCUCGAGACGCCGGUGGAAACCAUCUAGCUAGAGUCCGGAAGAGGAGAGUGGAAUUCCUGGUGUAGCGGUGAAAUGCGCAGAUAUCAGGAAGAACACCAACGGCGAAGGCAGCUCGCUGGGACGGUACUGACGCUGAGACGCGAAAGCGUGGGGAGCGAACAGG